CGUCUUCGAUCUGUUGCGGGCAGAUGAAAUGGAUGUGUGAAUCAAAGCCACCCGCGGUCAGGAUCUUACCCUCGCCCGCGAUUACCUCGGUUCCCGGACCAACGAUGAUAUCGACGCACGGCUGGGUGUCGGGAUUGCCAGCCUUGCCGAUCUUGUGAAUCCGCCCGUCACGCAGGCCGACAUCCGCCUUGUAGAUGCCUGAAUGAUCGACGAUCAGCGCAUUCGUGAUCACCGUAUCAACAGCCCCGUCCGCGCGGGUGGUCUGGGCCUGCCCCAUGCCGUCGCGAAUG
rnacentral:sRNA from 1 species